AUAUUGGUCAAUGGGCGGAAGCCUGAACCAGCCAUGCCGCGUGCAGGACGACUGCCCUAUGGGUUGUAAACUGCUUUUGUCCAGGAAUAAACCUAAAUACGUGUAUUUAGCUGAAUGUACUGGAAGAAUAAGGAUCGGCUAACUCCGUGCCAGCAGCCGCGGUAAUACGGAGGAUCCGAGCGUUAUCCGGAUUUAUUGGGUUUAAAGGGUGCGUAGGCGGCCUAUUAAGUCAGGGGUGAAAUACGGUGGCUCAACCAUCGCAGUGCCUUUGAUACUGAUGGGCUUGAAUCCAUUUGAAGUGGGCGGAAUAAGACAAGUAGCGGUGAAAUGCAUAGAUAUGUCUUAGAACUCCGAUUGCGAAGGCAGCUCACUAAGCUGGUAUUGACGCUGAUGCACGAAAGCGUGGGGAUCGAACAGG
rnacentral:rRNA from 1 species